rnacentral:rRNA from 1 species
CGGUAACCAGGAACCGUACCCCAAACCGACACAGGUGGUUGGGUAGAGAAUACCAAGGCGCUUGAGAGAACUCGGGUGAAGGAACUAGGCAAAAUGGCACCGUAACUUCGGGAGAAGGUGCGCCGGUGAGGGUGAAGCAUUUACUGCGUAAGCCCAUGCCGGUCGAAGAUACCAGGCCGCUGCGACUGUUUAUUAAAAACACAGCACUCUGCAAACACGAAAGUGGACGUAUAGGGUGUGACGCCUGCCCGGUGCCGGAAGGUUAAUUGAUGGGGUUAGCUAACGCGAAGCUCUUGAUCGAAGCCCCGGUAAACGGCGGCCGUAACAAUAACGGUCCUAAGGUAGCGAAAUUCCUUGUCGGGUAAGUUCCGACCUGCACGAAUGGCGUAACGAUGGCGGCGCUGUCUCCACCCGAGACUCAGUGAAAUUGAAAUCGCUGUGAAGAUGCAGUGUAUCCGCGGCUAGACGGAAAGACCCCGUGAACCUUUACUAUAGCUUUGCACUGGACUUUGAAUUUGCUUGUGUAGGAUAGGUGGGAGGCUUUGAAGCGUGGACGCCAGUUCGCGUGGAGCCAACCUUGAAAUACCACCCUGGCAACUUUGAGGUUCUAACUCAGGUCCGUUAUCCGGAUCGAGGACAGUGUAUGGUGGGUAGUUUGACUGGGGCGGUCUCCUCCUAAAGAGUAACGGAGGAGUACGAAGGUGCGCUCAGACCGGUCGGAAAUCGGUCGUAGAGUAUAAAGGCAAAAGCGCGCUUGACUGCGAGACAGACACGUCGAGCAGGUACGAAAGUAGGUCUUAGUGAUCCGGUGGUUCUGUAUGGAAGGGCCAUCGCUCAACGGAUAAAAGGUACUCCGGAUAACAGGCUGAUACCGCCCAAGAGUUCAUAUCGACGGCGGUGUUUGGCACCUCGAUGUCGGCUCAUCACAUCCUGGGGCUGAAGCCGGUCCCAAGGGUAUGGCUGUUCGCCAUUUAAAGUGGUACGCGAGCUGGGUUUAGAACGUCGUGAGACAGUUCGGUCCCUAUCUGCCGUGGACGUUUGAGAUUUGAGAGGGGCUGCUCCUAGUACGAGAGGACCGGAGUGGACGAACCUCUGGUGUUCCGGUUGUCACGCCAGUGGCAUUGCCGGGUAGCUAUGUUCGGAAUAGAUAACCGCUGAAAGCAUCUAAGCGGGAAACUAGCCUCAAGAUGAGAUCUCACUGGGACCUUGAGUCCCCUGAAGGGCCGUCGAAGACUACGACGUUGAUAGGUUGGGUGUGUAAGCGCUGUGAGGCGUUGAGCUAACCAAUACUAAUUGCCCGUGAGGCUUGAACAA